GCUUACGAGCGAACACAUCCUGCCUGUCAUUGCUGAUGAACUUGUCAGGCACUGCGUCGCUGUUGCUUACAUGAAUACGCCAUAGAAUUAAUCUUUUGUUUUUGUACAAACCAAGAACAGCACCAACGCAAUACUCAAAACGUCAGAGAAGAAGAAGAAGGAUGAGAAGAAGAGGAAGAGAAAAAAGGAGCAGAGGAAGAAGAAGAAGAAGAAGAAGAAGAAGAAGAAGAAGAAGAAGAAGAAGAAGAAGAAGAAGAAGAAGAAGGAGGAGGAGGAAUAAAUAGAAGAGGAAGAAGAAGAAGAAACAGACGAAGAAGAUGAAGAGGAAGAGAAAAAAGAAGCAGAAGAAGAUAAAAAAAAACAGAAGCAGAAGAAUAAGAAAAAAGAAGAAGAGGUAAGAAGAAGGUAAGAAAACAAAUGGAGGAUGAGAAGUGGUUCAAAGGCCUUGGAGAGGGGACUAGGAGCGCUCACCGCCCUACGGAGAAGGAAAACAACACACUUCCUUCACUGCGCUCCCUAUCAAAGCACUGGAAUUCAGGGGGAGUAAAGUUAGCAAGUGGGGGACGGGAAGGUUUCGGUGAACUAGGUCAAAGUUUUGCAGGUCCUCUCUCCCUGGGAUUAAUGGUGAGUGGACAGUCACCCUACCCUAGGAACCAGAGAGAAAACAACCAUGGACCCAAGGUUGCACAAAGUCAGUGUGAAGGUAUUUUGUUUUCAGCAAAAUCUCAUUGCCAUGUCAGUAAUUAACCUAUAUAAUCUGUUUAUACAGAGAUUGUAAUUAAUGUACUGUAAGGAUGGAAAGAAACCAUGAAGUUAUUUUAUCAGCUUAAUAGGGUACAAAAAAUCAUAUUUUGUUUAAAAUAAACAUUUAAGACAGAUAGCAGAUAAUACAACACGGGACUGCAGUUUUAUUAAAAUAAUAGGAAAACAGUGUUUUGCUGUUACCCUACCCUGUUAUCUGUAAAAUAUGAAUAUGAAUGUGCAUAUGAUGCAUACAUCCCAAUUUGUAUAAUUGUGUAUGUUAACUUAGGGUUGCCAUUUCAGGAGUUUAUGAACAAAAUUGUUUUUGCAGCAUGCAGUGAUCUCUUCACUAAUAGUGUGGGUUCUGUCUGACAUGCAAUCUAUGCCGUUUUCCGUCACUGAAAACUUCCAGUCACACAAUUGAAAUGUGACUAAAGCAAAUCGCAAACGUACAAAGAAUACUAAGGGAUCCAAACCAUCUAGAAAAAGUAGUUUGCCACAAAAAUACAGUGACAAAAAUAAAGCAACAUCAACAAAA
ensembl:lncRNA